GCAGAGUUUCUCUGUGGUCAAACCACCCUGCCAGCCUCCCUGCUGCAGCCGGCAGCACGUCACUCCAUGCGGGAGGGGAGCCCCACCUAAGGUGAGGCACCUGCUCCCCCUUUGCCUCCUGCCAUGAGUGGAAGCUUCCCAAGUCCUCACCAGAUGCAAAUGUUGGUGCCAUGCUUCCUGUACAGCCUGCAGAACUGUGAGCCAAAGAAACCGCUUUUCUUUAUAAAUUACCCAGUUUCAGGGUACCGAGUGAGACCCAGCUGACCUGGAAAAUGACAGGGACACUUUUUAUCCUUCCAACUUAACCUUUCCGUCCUGACUUAACCUUUCCCUCUUUGACACAAAUGAAGAAAUUAGGGCUCUUGACUGCUACUGAUUUAAGGGGAUUACAGAGGCACUGCCAGCGAGCAUGAGCACAAGAGUUUAGCGCCUCUCGGCAGCUGAGAGAGGAUGCUGCAUACUUGGGGCCUGGGACCUCCGAGAAGACCUUCUUCAGCCGAAAGCACACCUUAUUCUUGUCCCAGUUGAAGGCUUCCCAACGGUCUUCAUGUGGCACUUGCUGUGUGCCAGGCCCCACUCUGGGCACUUGGUUUAUU
ensembl:lncRNA LINC02236 long intergenic non-protein coding RNA 2236